AUUGAACGCUGGCGGCAGGCCUAACACAUGCAAGUCGAGCGGAGCUGCGGACGGGCGGGUGAGGCCUAGGAAUCUGACUGGUCGUGGGGGAUGAGGUCAGGAAACGGGCGCUGAUACCGCAUACUAUCAGAUGAGCCUAGGGCGGAUGAGCUAGUUGGUGGGGUAAAGGCCUACCCAGGCGACGAACCGUAACUGGUCUGAGAGGAUGAUCAGUCACCCGGGAACUGUGACACGGUCCAGACUCCUAGGGGAGGCAGCAGUGGGGAAGAUUGGGCAAUGGGCGAAAGCCUGAUCCAGCCAUGCCGCGUGUGUGAGGAAGGUCUUCGGGUUGUAAAGCACUUUAAGUUGGGAGGCGUUACCUACAGAAGAAGCGCCGGCUAACUUCGUGCCAGCAGCCGCGGUAAUUC
rnacentral:rRNA from 1 species